UACAGAGGGUGCAAGCGUUAUUCGGAAUUACUGGGCGUAAAGAGUGCGUAGGCUGUUUAGUAAGUCUGGUGUGAAAUCCCUCGGCUUAACCGGGGAACUGCAUUUGAAACUGCUAAGCUAGAGUAUCGAAGGGGAUGGCGGAAUUUCCAGUGUAGGGGUGAAAUCCGUAGAUAUUGGAAGGAACACCUGUGGCGAAGGCGGCCAUCUGGAAGAUUACUGACGCUGAGGCACGAAAGCGUGGGGAGCAAACAGG
rnacentral:rRNA from 1 species